rnacentral:snRNA from 1 species
UUGCUUCCACAGUAGAUACACUAAAAUUGGAAUGACACAGAGAUGAGCAUAGGUUCCCAAGAUGGCACAUGCAUUUGUAAAGCAUUUCAUAUUUUG